UACGGAGGGUGCAAGCGUUGUUCGGAAUUAUUGGGCGUAAAGGGCGCGUAGGUGGUUGUGAUAGUCAGAUGUGAAAUCCUUCGGCUCAACCGAAGAACUGCAUCUGAAACUUCAUAGCUCGAGUACAGGAGAGGGAAACGGAAUUCCCGGUGUAGAGGUGAAAUUCGUAGAUAUCGGGAGGAACACCAGUGGCGAAGGCGGUUUCCUGGCCUGAUACUGACGCUGAGGCGCGAAAGCGUGGGGAGCAAACAGGAUUAGAAACCCCAUCC
rnacentral:rRNA from 1 species